UAGGUGGCGGUAUAAAUAACAUGAACCAAUACUUAAAUCAGGACGUACAGUGACGGUUUAUAUUCUGAUGUCAUAUUACAGUAUGCCUGCCGAGACGAGUCUGCCAGUCAGGACAAAUUGGCAGCAGAGGCCUUCAAGUCGGCCUCAUGGGCACUGGCCACUAUAGGCAGAUUGGAGCGGCAGAACCGCGCUGCCAACCAGCGAAGUCGCCAACUGCACGAGCGAGUGCUCAAUCUGCAGCACAAACUAGAGGCCUUUGACUUGGAAGUAACAAAGCUACAAGCGACCGUGGCUUUGCAGCUUGAUGAUCGGAGAAUGGCGACCACGGCUCGUGUAGAUGUGGAAGAAGGAGCUGAUGAAAACGCAGACAGCGAGCCUACUUACGACCACCUACCAGACUGAGGGAGGGCAGAAAAUACAAAGAAUACAAAGAAAAUACAAAUAAUGACUUUAUUCCUAUGUGCCCCCACCCCUUUCUCCGUUUCAUGAAGCCGCAGCACUCGUUGUGUACACAUGUGCGUGCACAUUGUGUUAAUGACAAUAAAAUUGCAUUUGUCCCACA